CCUACGGGGGGCUGCAGUGGGGAAUAUUGGACAAUGGGCGAAAGCCUGAUCCAGCCAUGCCGCGUGUGUGAAGAAGGCCCUCGGGUUGUAAAGCACUUUCAGUGGGGAAGAAAGCCUUGGGGCUAAUACCCUCGAGGAAGGACAUCACCCACAGAAGAAGCACCGGCUAACUCCGUGCCAGCAGCCGCGGUAAUACGGAGGGUGCGAGCGUUAAUCGGAAUUACUGGGCGUAAAGCGCGCGUAGGCGGUCUGAUAAGCCGGUUGUGAAAGCCCCGGGCUCAACCUGGGAACGGCAUCCGGAACUGUCAGGCUAGAGUGCAGGAGAGGAAGGUAGAAUUCCCGGUGUAGCGGUGAAAUGCGUAGAGAUCGGGAGGAAUACCAGUGGCGAAGGCGGCCUUCUGGACUGACACUGACGCUGAGGUGCGAAAGCGUGGGUAGCAAACAGGAUUAGAUACCCGAGUAGUC
rnacentral:rRNA from 1 species